UUGUCCGGAAAGAGGAGGACUUAAUGAUUAUUCGUUCGUCGGAACCAGAAGUUAAAAUUGCUGUGGAUAGGGAUCCUAUAAAAACAUCUUUUGAGGAAUGGGCCAGACCCGGGCAUUUCUCAAGAACCAUAGCUAAGGGCCCCGAUACUACCACUUGGAUCUGGAACCUACAUGCUGAUGCUCACGAUUUCGAAUAGUCAUACCGGUGAUUUGGAGGAGAUCUCCCGAAAAGUCUUUAGUGCUCAUAUUUCGGCCAACUCUCCAUUAUCUUUCUUUGGUUGAGUGGCAUGUACUUCCACGGUGCCCGUUUUUUCCAAUUAUGAAGCAUGGCUAAAGCGAUCCUACUCCUCACAUUGGACCCAGUGCUCAGGUAGUUUGGCCAAUAGUAGGACAAGAAAUUUUGAAUGGUGAUGUAGGCGGGGGUUUCCGAGGAAUCCAAAUAACCUCUGGUUUUUUUCAGAUUUGGCGAGCAUCCGGAAUAACUAGUGAAUUACAACUCUAUUGUACCGCAAUUGGUGCAUUGAUUUUUGCAUCGUUAAUGCUUUUUGCCGGUUGGUUCCAUUAUCACAAAGCCGCUCCCAAAUUGGCCUGGUUCCAAGAUGUAGAAUCCAUGUUGAAUCACCACUUAGCGGGAUUAUUAGGACUUGGGUCUCUUUCUUGGGCGGGACACCAAAUCCAUGUAUCUUUACCGAUUAACCAAUUUCUCGACGCUGGGGUUGAUCCUAAAGAGAUACCACUUCCUCAUGAAUUUAUCUUGAAUCGCGACCUUUUGGCUCAACUUUAUCCUAGUUUUGCCGAAGGAGCAACCCCUUUUUUCACCUUGAAUUGGUCCAAAUAUGCGGAAUUUCUUAGUUUUCGCGGAGGACUAGAUCCAAUAACCGGUGGUCUAUGGUUGAGCGAUAUUGCACACCAUCAUUUAGCUAUUGCUAUUCUUUUCCUGAUCGCUGGUCAUAUGUAUAGGACCAAUUGGGGUAUUGGUCAUGGACUUAAAGAUAUUUUGGAGGCUCAUAAGGGCCCAUUUACAGGACAAGGCCAUAAAGGUCUCUAUGAAAUCCUAACAACGUCAUGGCAUGCUCAAUUAUCUCUUAACCUAGCUAUGCUAGGCUCUACAACUAUUGUUGUAGCUCAUCAUAUGUACUCUAUGCCCCCCUAUCCAUACCUAGCUACUGACUACGGUACACAACUUUCCUUGUUCACACACCACAUGUGGAUUGGCGGAUUUCUAAUAGUUGGUGCUGCUGCACAUGCAGCCAUUUUUAUGGUAAGAGACUAUGAUCCAACUACUCGAUACAACGAUCUAUUAGAUCGCGUCCUUAGACACCGCGAUGCAAUCAUAUCCCACCUUAACUGGGUAUGUAUAUUUCUGGGUUUUCACAGUUUUGGCUUGUACAUUCAUAAUGAUACCAUGAGUGCUUUAGGCCGUCCCCAAGAUAUGUUUUCGGAUACCGCCAUACAAUUACAACCCAUCUUUGCUCAAUGGAUACAAAAUAUCCAUGCUGGCGCGCCUGGCGUAACAGCUCCUGGUGCAACAACAAGUACCAGCUUAACGUGGGGAGGCGGCGAGUUAGUAGCUAUAGGCGGCAAAGUAGCUUUGUUACCUAUUCCAUUAGGAACCGCAGAUUUUUUAGUCCAUCACAUUCACGCAUUUACCAUCCAUGUGACUGUAUUAAUACUUUUGAAAGGUGUUUUAUUUGCUCGCAGUUCCCGUCUGAUACCUGAUAAAGCAAAUCUUGGCUUUCGCUUCCCUUGCGACGGACCUGGGCGAGGGGGAACAUGUCAAGUAUCCGCCUGGGAUCAUGUUUUCUUAGGUCUAUUCUGGAUGUACAAUUCUAUUUCGGUAGUCAUUUUCCAUUUCAGUUGGAAAAUGCAGUCGGAUGUUUGGGGUACUAUAAGUGAUCAAGGGAUAGUAACUCAUAUCACAGGGGGAAACUUUGCGCAGAGUUCCAUUACGAUUAAUGGUUGGCUUCGAGAUUUCUUGUGGGCACAGGCAUCCCAAGUAAUUCAGUCUUAUGGUUCUUCAUUAUCUGCAUAUGGUCUUUUUUUCUUAGGCGCUCAUUUUGUCUGGGCUUUCAGUUUAAUGUUUUUAUUCAGCGGCCGUGGUUAUUGGCAAGAACUCAUUGAAUCUAUCGUUUGGGCUCAUAACAAAUUAAAAGUUGCUCCUGCUACUCAGCCUAGAGCCUUGAGCAUUAUACAAGGACGUGCUGUAGGAGUAACCCAUUACCUUCUGGGUGGAAUUGCCACAACAUGGGCAUUCUUCUUAGCGAGAAUUAUUGCAGUAGGAUAGUGGCUAGGAGGAUUUGAAAGGCAUUAUGGAAUUAAGAUUUCCCAGGUUUAGCCAAGGCUUAGCUCAGGACCCCACUACUCGUCGUAUUUGGUUUGGUAUUGCUACCGCACAUGAUUUCGAAAGUCAUGAUGAUAUUACUGAGGAACGUCUUUAUCAGAACAUUUUUGCUUCUCACUUUGGGCAGUUAGCAAUAAUCUUUCUAUGGACGUCCGGAAAUCUGUUUCAUGUAGCUUGGCAAGGAAAUUUUGAAUCAUGGAUACAGGAUCCUUUACACGUAAGACCUAUUGCUCAUGCCAUUUGGGAUCCUCAUUUUGGGCAACCCGCUGUGGAAGCCUUUACUCGAGGAGGUGCUGCCGGUCCAGUGAAUAUCGCUUAUUCUGGGGUUUAUCAGUGGUGGUAUACAAUUGGAUUGCGCACCAAUGAAGAUCUUUAUACUGGAGCUCUUUUUCUAUUAUUUCUUUCUACGCUAUCCUUAAUAGGGGGUUGGUUACAUCUACAACCCAAAUGGAAGCCAAGCCUUUCGUGGUUCAAAAACGCCGAAUCUCGUCUGAAUCAUCAUUUGUCAGGACUUUUCGGAGUAAGUUCUUUGGCUUGGACAGGACAUUUAGUUCAUGUUGCUAUUCCCGGAUCCAGGGGGGAGUACGUUCGAUGGAAUAAUUUCUUAGAUGUAUUACCCUAUCCCCAGGGGUUGGGUCCCCUUCUGACGGGUCAGUGGAAUCUUUAUGCCCAAAAUCCUGAUUCGAGUAAUCAUUUAUUUGGUACCACUCAAGGAGCGGGAACUGCCAUUCUGACCCUUCUUGGGGGAUUCCAUCCACAAACACAAAGUUUGUGGCUGACCGAUAUUGCUCAUCAUCAUUUAGCUAUUGCAUUUAUUUUUCUCAUUGCCGGUCAUAUGUAUCGAACUAACUUCGGAAUUGGGCACAGUAUCAAAGAUCUUUUAGAAGCACAUACUCCUCCGGGGGGUCGAUUAGGACGUGGGCAUAAAGGCCUUUAUGAUACAAUCAAUAAUUCGAUUCAUUUUCAAUUAGGCCUUGCUCUAGCUUCCUUAGGGGUUAUUACUUCCUUAGUAGCUCAACAUAUGUACUCUUUACCUGCUUAUGCAUUCAUAGCACAAGACUUUACUACUCAAGCUGCUUUAUAUACUCAUCACCAAUACAUUGCAGGGUUCAUCAUGACAGGGGCUUUUGCUCAUGGAGCUAUUUUUUUCAUUAGGGAUUACAAUCCGGAACAGAAUGAAGAUAAUGUAUUGGCAAGAAUGUUAGACCAUAAGGAAGCUAUCAUAUCUCAUUUAAGUUGGGCUAGCCUCUUCCUAGGAUUCCAUACCUUGGGCCUUUAUGUUCAUAACGACGUUAUGCUUGCUUUUGGUACUCCAGAAAAGCAAAUCUUGAUUGAACCUAUAUUUGCCCAAUGGAUACAAUCUGCUCAUGGUAAGACGACAUAUGGGUUCGAUAUACUCUUAUCUUCAACGAAUGGCCCCGCUUUCAAUGCAGGUCGAAACAUAUGGUUGCCCGGAUGGUUGAAUGCUGUUAAUGAGAAUAGUAAUUCGCUUUUCUUAACAAUAGGACCUGGGGAUUUCUUGGUUCAUCAUGCUAUUGCUCUAGGUUUGCAUACAACUACAUUGAUUUUAGUAAAGGGUGCUUUAGAUGCACGCGGUUCCAAAUUAAUGCCGGAUAAAAAGGAUUUCGGGUAUAGUUUUCCUUGCGACGGCCCAGGGCGCGGCGGUACUUGUGAUAUUUCUGCUUGGGACGCGUUUUAUUUGGCAGUUUUCUGGAUGUUAAAUACCAUUGGAUGGGUUACUUUUUAUUGGCAUUGGAAACACAUUACAUUAUGGCAGGGCAACGUUUCACAAUUUAAUGAAUCCUCCACUUAUUUGAUGGGAUGGUUAAGAGAUUACCUAUGGUUAAACUCUUCACAACUUAUUAAUGGAUAUAAUCCUUUUGGGAUGAAUAGUUUAUCAGUAUGGGCUUGGAUGUUCUUAUUUGGACAUCUUGUUUGGGCUACAGGAUUUAUGUUCUUAAUUUCCUGGCGUGGAUAUUGGCAGGAAUUAAUUGAGACUUUAGCAUGGGCUCAUGAACGGACACCUUUGGCUAAUUUAAUUCGCUGGAGAGAUAAGCCCGUGGCUCUUUCCAUUGUGCAAGCAAGAUUGGUCGGAUUAGCCCACUUUUCCGUGGGUUAUAUAUUCACUUAUGCAGCUUUCUUGAUUGCCUCAACAUCAGGCAAGUUUGGUUAAUUUAGUUAUUUUUUUUUGUACUGUAUCAGAACCCAGUUCAUUACUCUUGAUGGAGAGGGAGGAUCCGCCUUUUUAGAUUUUUGCUAUUUAUUUUUCUAUCUAGGAUUAGAACCAUAUACUUGGUAAUAAUAGGAACGGCACAUUAUGGCAAAAAAAAGUUUGAUUCAGAGGGAGAAGAAGCGGCAGAAAUUAGAACAAAAAUAUCAUUUGAUUCGUCGAUCCUCAAAAAAAAAGAUAAGAAGCAAAGUUUCCCCUUUGAGUUUGAG